rnacentral:rRNA from 1 species
UCGCGAAACCUUCACACUGGGGGAAACCCUGAUGAGGGAAUUCCUAGUGCCUGCAUUUUUUGUAGGCUUUUAUCUAGUGUAGAUAGCUAGAAGAAUAAGGGCCGGGUAAGACGGGUGCCAGCCGCCGCGGUAAUACCCGCGGCCCAAGUGGUGGUCGAUAUUAUCGAGUCUAAAACGUCCGUAGCCGGUUCAGUAAAUCUUUGGGUAAAUCGGCCAGCUUAACUGACCGAAUUCCGAAGGGACUGCUGAACUUGGGACCGGGAGAGGCCAGAGGUACUUCUGGGGUAGGGGUAAAAUCCUGUAAUCCUAGAAGGACCACCGGUGGCGAAGGCGUCUGGCUAGAACGGAUCCGACGGUGAGGGACGAAGCCCUGGGGCGCAAACGGGAUUAGAUACCCCGGUAGUCCAGGGUGUAAACGCUGCAGGCUUGGUGUUGGGGGUCCUUCGGGGGCGCCCAGUGCCGGAGAGAAGUUGUUAAGCCUGCUACUUGGGGAGUACGUCCGCAAGGAUGAAACUUAAAGGAAUUGGCGGGGGAGCACCGCAACGGGAGGAGCGUGCGGUUUAAUUGGAUUCAACACCGGAAAACUCACCAGGAGCGACGGUUACAUGAAAGUCAGGCUGAUGACCUUACUAGAUUUUCC